AUUGAACGCUGGCGGCAGGCCUAACACAUGCAAGUCGAACGGAGUGGCGGACGGGUGAGUAAUGUCUGGGCAACUGCAUGAUGGAGGGGGAUAACGCCCGGAAACGGGCGCUAAUACCGCUUACUGUCAGAUGGGCCUAGGUCGGAGUAGCUAGUUGGUGGGUGAAAGGCCUACCAAGGCGACGAUCCGUAACUGGUCUGAGAGGAUGAUCAGUAACACUGGAACUGAGACACGGUCCAGACUCCUACGGGAGGCAGCAGUGGGGAAUAUUGGACAAUGGGCGAAAGCCUGAUCCAGCCAUGCCGCGUGUGUGAAGAAGGUCUUCGGAUUGUAAAGCACUUUAAGUUGGGAGGCGUUACCAACAGAAUAAGCACCGGCUAACUUCGUGCCAGCAGCCGCGGUAAUAC
rnacentral:rRNA from 1 species